rnacentral:lncRNA from 1 species
AAGACAGAAACAAAAUAAGAGUAACUUUAAUAUCAGGGAUAAAUAGGGGGACAAUAAAAGACCUCAUGUUGAAAUAGCUCAUUACUGUAAACUGGUUAUUUUCAAAGUUAAAACAAACGGUGGGGGGCGGGGGGACUUGAGAAAAUACUCAAACUAGGGGUUCUCACUAACAGAUCAGGAACUACUUGUGGUUCCUGCCUUACCUAGUAGGUCUCCAAGCUGGUUGGCCUUCUCUUGGGUUUGUCAGAAUUUCCAGUAAAGGGAGAAAAGCAGGAUAAGAGCUCUUAGGCCUUAUCAGCAGAGCUCUUAGGCCUCAUCAGCACAACUUUAACACUAAUAGCAACACUACUCUGUUUCUAUCCCUCAAGUAAGUUCCAAGCUUUAAGAAAAUAGGCUCUUUUUACAGCUCCCAUACUUCCUGCCUCCAAAAGGUUGAGUGGCACUGUCUCCUCUCAUGGGAUACAUUUGGAAGGGUUAGCCACCAGAUGACAGAGUAGUACCCCACAGUACUUACUUCCUAAAACAGGAAAAAUCAUGUUUCUUGUGCAGAACUCCUCUAUUAAGACUGCACAGGAUCCAUGAAGUUAAAAUAUCACAUGCUAGAACAAUGCCACAGAAAGUAUAACUAGCAUUCCUGACUAGAACAGCAAGGAGUGUCUCCUGGCUGCUGCAUAUUAUAAAUAUACAGCUCAUUCCUCAUCAGUACAGUGUCGAGAAAAAAGUAUAUACACGUAUAUAUACACACGUAUACACACAUAUAUACGUAUAUACACACGUAUACACACGUAUAUACACACGUACGUAUACACACACGUAUACACACACGUGUAUAUAUAUACACGUAUACACACACGUGUAUAUAUAUACACGUAUACACACACGUGUAUAUAUAUACACGUAUACACACACGUGUAUAUAUAUACACGUAUACACACACGUGUAUAUAUAUACACGUAUACACACACGUGUAUAUAUAUACACGUAUACACACACACGUGUAUAUAUAUACACGUAUAUAUACACACAUAUAUAUGUAUAUAUAUACACGUAUUUAUGGAAUUGCAGGGUUUUUAAAAAUUGAAAUCAUUCAGUACGUAUAAUAUUACAUAAAAUAUUGCCGGUGGGGAGAUAUAUAUAUUUAUGUAUAUAUAUACACACGUGUGUACAUAUAUACACAUAUAUAUGUAUAUAUAUACACACGUGUGUACAUAUAUAUACAUAUAUAUGUAUAUAUGUACACACGUGUGUACAUGUAUAUAUAUACACACGUGUGUACAUAUAUACAUAUAUAUGUAUAUAUAUGUGGGUACAUAUAUAUGUGUGUCAUAGAUAAGAUUUUUAUCCCACAAAUAUGGGAUUAGAGAGACUAGGUUUUUAUUCUACAAGAUUAGCUCAGAGUAGAAAUGAAUAGCAAAAUCUAUUAAUGCAUUCAUUAAAUUUCUUGAACUAUAAAUAUCACAAUUAGAUUUUCAGCACUUCAAAACAGUCCUGUGACUUUUCCAAUAACUAGAAAAAAAAUACAUCUAUUUUCAAAAACUCCCAUGUCAAGAUUAUUUCCAGAACCCAAAUUCAUCUUUUAUUAAAAGGUAAUAAAUGAGAAACUAAUAACAGUUAUUAGAUUCCAGGUAGAAGAAUUUA